UUUGUUCUCGUUACAGCACAAAUUGUGAACGGUCUCCACGGCUUUCGACGUUGACUUCAGCUCGUCCUUGUUGAUGCCCACGCGCUUGUUCUGAGAACACGAUGCGAGUCCGUGAAUCCCGAUGGCAUGCGUGGCCUUGCAGGUCUCAACCACGCUUGCUGCAUAGGCCAAGAUAUGGAUGUAUUUGUGCUUGUGGUCCUGGUUGAUUCUGGCCCCCGGCUUAAAGAGCGACUGCAUGAACAGGUCCAGGAAGGCCGGCACGCGGAUCUGAGGGGACACACCACAUCAUUGGAAAGGAAUGCACGAAACAGAUAUCAGACUUACGGAAGUGAAGUGAUGGAGACCUUUACCAAAAAGCCAAUACGGUCUUGCAGAAGAGACAGACCGCCCCCAACCAAACCAAAAUAACUCUUGCUCAUCAACACUCUGAUCGUUUUCGUGACUCUAGUACUCUUCCUACCUUAACAGUGAAGUUAAGCAUCAAACAGUCUGGAUGGGCUUCAGCCAGUUUGUAAAAAAGAUCUCUCCACGUGGUAUGUGCAAUCAUUUGUUCAAGCCAAGCUGGGGUCUGCCAACAAACAGACAGCAAGAUAAAAGGCCUAGCUUGAGCUUAAGUGAAGACGACAUCGUGUAAACAGUCGCUGGCUAUUCCAGCUAGAAACGCCCCGAGAGCAUCUAGCUCCAGGCCCGCAGGCCCAGCAGCGGAGGCAGGCCCAGAGCUGGCGCUGCCACGCGGGACGCUGAGUGGCAGCGCUAGAGCCCUGAAGGCCCACUCACAGCUUCUGGAAGCCUCAACUGCACACGAGAGCAUACGGAAGGCGCGUCUGGGAGACACGCGGGCGGCCAGGGAAGCACAGGGAGGAUGGCGCUGCAGCAGACGCACACGUCACGCACGUCCAUCAGCUGCGUGCCCUCGGUACGAGGAAAAGGCCAUUGGGUAGUGCGGUGGUUCUGUCCAUCACCACGUGUGGUGGCCACAGCUCCCCUCCUGAGUGACUGACAGACCCCGGGGCUGACUCUGAGUCCACCUCCCAUUUGCGCCAAGGCCAGGCUGCUCACGGGACACUGCCAGCCACCAACUGUGUGGCAGGGCUCCUCAGGCAGGCCUGUUCCCAGGAGACCUGGGGCUCAGUGACAGGCGACGGUGGCUUGAAGACGCCCCACGGACACCGCAGAAACUUUCUGAAAGCUGCGCUGUCGCCUAGGGCUCUCCGUCCCCCACCUUCCUUCCCUCCCUCCCUCCUGCCUUCGGGGGGCCACACCCACAGCCCCACUCAUCUUCUCUCACACACACACAACCCCGUCCUGGCAUCUGCCUCUAGGGCGCCGGGAUGGUGACAGCACUCUGCUCAGCGCCUGUGCUCGAGAGUCAGCAGGACACGGGAGCUGCGAAUCUGCUCUUCCUCCCCAGCUCACGACCUGUGCGCCCCUCAGCCCGCCGGAGCUUGCCACGCUGCGCGGGGCACUCAGAGGGCAGCUCCAACUCAGCGCGACUCGCCUCACACCCUGACGUUAGGGCCCGACUCCUUACGUUACGCACACAACGCAGCACACUCCACUAUGUGUGGGAUGAGCAAAAGACCCAAAAAACCCGCAUGAGAAAAAGAAGACAGACUCCUCACCUCUCCU